AAAAAAAGUCCAGUCCCGAUGCGACCUUCGAGGCGCAAAGAGGAGCGGCCGGUGUUCGUCGGUCGAUUGGAUCCACCGGGGUGUGCGAAAGAGAUGGGAUGGGAUGUGUCGCCGUUCCCAGACCGAUCGAUCGCUGUCGCUCCUGAAAAAAAAUCGCUCGACGCGAGGGGGGAAGGGGAUCCGCCGCCGCACGCGAUUCUCAUCGACGACAUGGCCACUCGUUCGAGCGAAAGUGCUCCGGCGAAGUUGUGCCGCCGCCGGCACCGCCACCGCCACCACUACCGCUCGAGGUCGGUGGAUCUCUGAGGCAACCUCAUGCUCCGAUCCGAACGGGGCGGCUGGACUGCCUGCGUGGCGGUGGACGACGUCGCCCAGGCCAACAACAGCAUCCAGCGCCUCAACGACUUCCCCUCCAUGGCGCACAUCUCCGGGAUGGGCCUCAAGGUCGUGCGUUGAUCACGGCCUUCUCCAACCUCUGCGCAGUCAACCUCUCCGGCACCGAUGAUGAAAUCAUUUCUGCUAUCGCUGCAUUACUACAUCCUCCGCUUGCUCAUAUAUCAUGCUGUGUAGGAUGUUUGCCUUUCUUCAUUCCGUUUCUGUGACCUCUAGCCAUUUGUCAGACAUGUUUUUUUUUCUUAGUUUCCAUUUUGCCCGGCAUCUUGCUCACUCCCUUAUUAUCCAGCUGACUUCUUGUUGACUGUUGCUUGUUAUAGGAAUUGCCCUGCUCGUUUGCUCAAAGGUUCUUUAUCCCCAGAGUGUAUGUAUCACUCGGAACUGAGAGUCUGCUCCUGGACAGGUACAUACUUGGAGAUAACAUGAUGGUAAGAAGGCAAGAAGCAGGUACAUGUAUAGGUGGGUUUUUGGUGUCUCAGAGGGGCACAUGUGAAGUAUCCACACCAAAGCAUGUCGAGUACCUCAUGGCUUGUAUCAGUGCCCAGCUUGACGACGAACUAUUCUCUGAAAAGCUUGCUAAUGAAUUUCUGUUCAAUUAUUGGGUACGUGAAAAAGGAACACUGAUUUGGUCUGAUCGUGUAUUGUUGUGCCAACAGGGGCUACAUUCCUUCUAAACUUCUGCGGCGUUAUCAACGCGAUCUUAAAGUGCAAGGUGUGUGCGCACAUAUAACACUUAGCAGAUUAUUGUGAAUCUUAAGGAAGGAGCACAUCUCAAGGCUAAGCAUUUUGUGCUCUUAUCUUGGGUAAUAUCCGCUCUUUAAUAUACAAGAAGUUCAACUCUGGAGUAGUUGUCACGAAAGCAAAGAUCUAAGUCAGGUAAGGUAGUAUGUAUGCAUCUUCAGUUACUAUUUUUUGCAGCAUGUCUAAAGGUAAAAGUAGCAGCCUGAUGCCAUGUACAACACUACAAAAUGAAGGGUUUUCCAGCAUUAGUGGCAGGAGAUGCAAAUCAAGAAAAUUGCAUACUGUAAGGUGUGCUCCUUCAUGUAGCUACAUAUAGCCUUGGUUAAGGAAAUUCUAAAAUGAAUGUUUGCUGAAAUUCUCAUGUAGAUUUAAAUAUUGGCUUUGAUCAUGUUUCAAAUACCAGGAUAUAGGCAGCCUUGCAAGAGAUCAUGAGAACCUGGAAGGUCAUUGUUCAGCGUUCUCAAUAUUACAUAUCAUAUAGUUGCGUGAUGCCCUUAAAUCUUGAGUUCCUUUUGCUCAAAGUUGGGGAAUUUGUGAGGCCAUUUUGGACGCUAUGUGUUCAUGGUGUAUACUUUGUAUAGUGAUUGGUCUUACUACUGAAGCUGACAUAUUUACUCUUCUA